GUGCAUUAUAAAAUGUAAUAAUGAACGGAAGUAGUUUGAAUAUAUUUUUUAUGGAAUGUUUAGAAAUAAUUUACUUAACGUUCAUCGUAUUGGUAAUUAUUUCAUCGGCGUAUUAUUAUUAUUAUGUAUAUAAUGAGAGAAUGAAGAGAGCUGAAGAAUACAUUCGUUACUGGAGCCCUAGAGUGAUUGCGCAAAUUCGAGAACGUGGUGUUAGCGUUUGCUAAGUCCUUAAAGAUUCUUUUAAAGACAAAAAAAUUAAAAUCUAAACCACAAACUCCUUUUAGUAAUUCAAAAGUCUUUUGAGACAAUAACGAUUCCAAAUCAAGAAAAGUAAUAAAUUAUAAAAUACUGUAUUAAUACAUAUAACUACUAUUGAUAUGACAACAAUAUAACGAAUAUAUUCAUUCUUCCACUCAUUCAACUUCCAUUCCGUUGUACAUGUGCAGAAUUGGUGGUCUAUCUUCAGCUAUAAAUUAUUUUUAUCGUGUAGGAACUAAAAUUUUAGAUAUCUGAAAUCGUAAAUAGAAUCCAGAGCCAUGACAAGGGAUACCACUAAGAACUAGUGUAUGGCACCUAGUGCUAGUGUAGGCCUGAAGCUUAGAACUAUUCCUAAAUAGCUUAUCAUGAAUUAAAUUUAAAAGUGAAGAUAAUAAAAUUAGUUGUAAAUAAUUUUAUUGAGGUUUAUAAUAAA